UAGUUGGUGGGAUAAUGGCCUACCAAGGCAACGAUGCGUAGCCGACCUGAGAGGGUGAUCGGCCACACUGGGACUGAGACACGGCCCAGACUCCUACGGGAGGCAGCAGUAGGGAAUCUUCCGCAAUGGACGAAAGUCUGACGGAGCAACGCCGCGUGAGUGAUGUAGGUUUUCGGAUCGUAAAACUCUGUUGUUAGGGAAGAACAAGUACCGUUCGAAUAGGGCGGUACCUUGACGGUACCUAACCAGAAAGCCCCGGCUAACUACGUGCCAGCAGCCGCGGUAAUACGUAGGGGGCGAGCGUUGUCCGGAAUUAUUGGGCGUAAAGCGCGCGCAGGCGGUCUUCUAAGUCUGAUGUGAAAGCCCACGGCUUAACCGUGGAGGGUCAUUGGAAACUGGAGGACUUGAGUACAGAAGAGGAGAGUGGAAUUCCACGUGGAGCGGUGAAAUGCGUAGAGAUGUGGAGGAACACCAGUGGCGAAGGCGACUCUCUGGUCUGUAACUGACGCUGAGGUGCGAAAGCGUGGGUAGCGAACAGGAUUAGAUACCCUGGUAGUCCACGCCGUAAACGAUGAGUGCUAGGUGUCAAGGGGUUUCCGCCCCUUGGUGCUGCAGUUAACGCAUUAAGCACUCCGCCUGGGGAGUACGGCCGCAAGGCUGAAACUCAAAAGAAUUGACGGGGGCCCGCACAAGCGGUGGAGCAUGUGGUUUAAUUCGAAGCAACGCGAAGAACCUUACCAGGUCUUGACAUCCUCUGACAACCCUAGAGAUAGGGCAUUCCCUUCGGGGACAGAGUGACAGGUGGUGCAUGGUUGUCGUCAGCUCGUGUCGUGAGAUGUUGGGUUAAGUCCCGUAACGAGCGCAACCCUUGAUCUUAGUUGCCAGCAUUAAGUUGGGCACUCUAAGGUGACUGCCGGUGACAAACCGGAGGAAGGUGGGGAUGACGUCAAAUCAUCAUGCCCCUUAUGACCUGGGCUACAC
rnacentral:rRNA from 1 species